rnacentral:snRNA from 1 species
AUACUUACCUGGCAGGGGAGAUACCAUGAUCACGAAGGUGGUUUUCCCAGGGCCAGGCUUAUCCAUUGCACUCCGGAUGUGCUGACCCCUGCGAUUUCCCCAAAUGUGGGAAACUUGACUGCAUAAUUUGUGGUAGUGGGGGACUGCGUUCGUGCUCUCCCCUA